UCGAAGCUUGAAGUUGUAUGUUUGGAACAAACAAAUAUGAGAAAAAUGGAUUGAGAUUUGUCAUCUUGUCCCACAUAGGUGGAUAGACAAAACUUAAAGUGGUAUAUAAGGAGGAGCACUCCUUGAAGGCAAACACUAGUGGGGACCAAAGGGUGCACCGCACCUGCACAUAUGCGCGCGUGAUGUGGGCUAUAAGCCCAAUGUGGUGCGCUUUGAACUUCGCACACCGCCUUUGUAUUUUUGUCCAUGAGCGCGUGGUCAGAUACAUGGCGGGUCCGCUUAUGGCGCACCCUUGGGUAGCGUAGGCGGAUGCCUUGGCAUGACGCAUGGCACACGUCAUUGGCUAUGGCGAAGACUGCAAGUGGCACGCAAGUAUGGAUGGUGCAUAACCAGGUGGCAUCCUGGUAUGCAUAGUGGCAUCCAAUUAGCGCAUGGCGCAAGAAGGUGUGUCUCCGCGGAAGCGUAGUGCAGGCUCAACUAAGGCGCGCCUGCAUGCGCGUUCGACUGGUUAAACCAGUCUACUUACUAGAGAGUUAAUGUUAGACGGUUUCCACUAGUGCCAUAAGUUGAAUGGCAUUUCUUUUUACUACCACUUAAUAUCCAUUAAGUUAGAGUUUAACCCUUUUUUAUUACAAGAUUAAUUAUCUUGUUAAUUACAAGAUUAAUGAUCUUGUUAAUUACAAGAUUAAUGAUCUUGUUUAUGUCACCAUUAAGAGGGUUGAAUGAGUCUAUGCAUCUAAUUAUAAAAUGAAUAUGGUUUAUUCAUUUGUGUAGAAGAAGAAAAAUAGACACAACAAAUUGGUCUUUUGUUCCUUGAAAAUUUAGAGAGGAGCACUCUCUAAAUUAUUCUUUUCUCAACUUCAUAUUUUCCUAAUUGUGUGAACACCAAAUUAUACCCGGUGCUAUCUCGGGCAUGAGAGUCAUCUCCGGCAGUACACAUACUGUUCCGGUUGUUGUACCCUGGGAGACAGACCGUCUGAGAGGAGGCGCGGAAUCUGUUUUAAGGGAAGCGUGUUGAACACGUGCCUCAACCAAAAACCGUCAACAAUUUUGCUUGUCUUGUAGCGGAGUUUUGAUCUCGUAGAUGCGGUUGAAGUUUUCCAAAGACAUUGGCUUUGAAUCAAGAUUGGUACAAUUAUAUUGUAUUUUAUAUUCGUUUAUUUAAUUUUUGUAACCGAUAUUGUACUAGUCGAAUUUCCCACAAAUAACGAGAGUCUCGUUAUUAUAUAUUUUGUAAUACAUUUUAUAAAAAGUGAACCUAGUUCCUACACAAUGUCUAUAUCUACUGAACAGGGGAUGCCACCUGAAAUUCUCAUCAUGUUAGUUAGUGAAAUUUGCAAUCUCUAAGUUUUUUUUCAUGUUGGGUGUAACUUUGGGUGAAGCUAUGGAAAAGAGAAGUUGAGCCUGGAAAGCCAGGUAAAACUAGUCGUUAGUAUCGUAGUUAUUAAAGGCCUUAGGCGCACUCAAGGCGAAUAGGCCUCGUCUGGGGUCUAGGCGCAAGGAGCAAAAAAAGCGCGGGCCUGAGAAAAAAAAAAAAAGCAUACCACAAAGAAAACUUAAAAUAUUUUUAUAUAAUAGAAAAUUAAUACUAUUCUUCAAAUAAAAUAAAGUAAAGCUAUUAUAUAACAUUUAAUAUCGUCUAUUUAGUACCAAAAGUUGCAAAAUGCUAGUUUAUUAGUGUAGAAAAGUAGUUUCGUUAGACAAAAGUAGAAAUCUAGCUAGAAUCCUGCCAGAAUUUAAAGAAUUUGGCCGAAAACUCUCAAGAAUCUAGGAAUUUCGCCAGAAUUUGUGCAUGAACCAUCACUUGGAGAAUUAAAGCGCAAUUGCCUCGCCUAGCUAGGAAAUUGGGCCUAGGCGCAAGAGGCGAUGGCUUUUAAGAACUAUGUGCAGGCCUGCUGGAAUAUUGUUGAUUUCAUAACAUGUUGGCAGUUCAUAGGGUGCAACGAAUAGGUCACAAGAAUUAGAUGAUGCUGUCCUUAGGAGAUUGGUGCGGAUCUGAAGAAAAUUGUGAAACAGACUAAGGGAUGAUAUGGUCCAAGAGUAUUCAGAUACACCUUUAAGACAUCUUCCAAUUCAUGUGCUUGUGGCAUUCAUGGUUGUAAAUCCCGACUAGCGCCUAGCAAUUCUUACAACACUGGUGGCAUCUAAAGUCUCUUUUCUACUUGGUUACCAUCUUGGGGCAGUAAAUGAACUACUUGAAAGUAUGUCUACCCAUAUUCUUGGUUUAGAUGAGAUUAACACGGCAGAAGUAUAAAUGAGGGUCUGGUAGUACGUGUCUUGGUUGCGCCUUUGUUGGGUCUCUGUUCAAUGGUUGGAUUGCUGAUGAAUCUGGGCGCGACAAAACUUUUCGGUGUUGUGUUUAGCCUAAGGUCAAUAAUGCUUCAAAGGGUCUUCACUACGAGGGUGUUAAAGUUAAAACUAAGCUUUGGCUACGUAUCGAAGA